rnacentral:rRNA from 1 species
UACGUAGGGUGCGAGCGUUGUCCGGAAUUACUGGGCGUAAAGAGCUCGUAGGUGGUUUGUCGCGUUGUUCGUGAAAACUCACAGCUCAACUGUGGGCGUGCGGGCGAUACGGGCAGACUAGAGUACUGCAGGGGAGACUGGAAUUCCUGGUGUAGCGGUGGAAUGCGCAGAUAUCAGGAGGAACACCGGUGGCGAAGGCGGGUCUCUGGGCAGUAACUGACGCUGAGGCGCGAAAGCGUGGGGAGCAAACAGG